CAGUUCCUCACCCAGCCGGACCAGGCCCUUUUCCACUCUCUAGAUUCUCUGCCAGCAUCGGAAUGUGCAAGCCGGAACGUGGAGUCACCUCAGGUGACACUGAAACACAUGAGCCAGAGCUGCAGUCCCAUGGGUGUGAGCAGCAUGGUCCUCCAGGUGCUGGGCUUCCUGGUGGACACCGCCACAGGCAAUAAGGUAGAGACCCCCACACAGACAAGACACACAGAGAGACAGAGACACAGAUACAUACAAGGGGAGAAAGACAGAGACAUACAGAGGGAUAUAGAGAGACAGACGGACAUACAGACACACAGAGGGAGUGAGUUAAUAAAAAUAUUAAAAAUGCUAUGAAA
rnacentral:lncRNA from 1 species